GAGCGAUCCCGGAAGGAGCCGAAGCGACAAUGCGGGGGAAGAGAUAGAGUCUUCCUCUGUCGCCUAGGCUGGAGUGCAGUGGCGCGAUCUCGGCGCACCGCAACCUCUGCCUCCCGGGUUCAAGCGAAUUCUCCUGCCUCAGCCUCCGGAGUAGCUGGGAUUACAGAUGUGCUCCACCAUGCCCGGCUAAUUUUUGUAUUUUUAGUAGAGAUGGGGGGGUUUCACCAUGUUGGCCAGGCUGGUCUCGAACUCCUGACCUUGUGAUCCACUAGCUUCGGCCUCCCGAAGUUCUGGGAUUACAGGCAUGAGCCACCACACCCGGAUGAAUUAUGCCAUUUUUAAGGCAAAGCAGCGGUGAUGGUGGGUGAUGGAGUGACAUCAGGAGCGCCAGAAGGAGGAAGUCAGAAAGCCCUUGGGGACAGGAAUGUCCUUGUGUUGCAAACAUUUCUGGUCAGGGAAAGAUGAAGAAAACAGAAUGAGUUUCUGAUAACAGUGUUCCCAACACUUAAUGGUUAAAAGAAGCUUUGAGGAACACCAUAUUUCAGCCCUAUGGAACAGUGAACAAAAAGGAAAAAGCCAGUAAGACUGAUGGUUCUGUAUAAGAUGUCCACUUCUGCAUGAUCUGCUCCAGACAACAAAUGAAAUGCUCUUAUUAUUCCUGUCCCACUCUUGUCUCCCUACAGGCUAACCUCAUCUUUCACAAUCACUAUUUUCACAAUCGAGCUUUGAGAAGCUGAAAAGUCAGCAGGCUAUCUUGGCAAACCCACUAUAGUGUUCUAAAUUCUUUGUCAAAAUUAACCUUUUACAAUCUCUUGGCACUUGGAAGUAGGGGAAGAGUCCAACUGAAAGUGCAGUUUGAUCUCAUGGAGAAAAGUGAUGACACUUACCAAUUCCCCAGACCUGAGACUAAGAAAAUAACCUUGGCCAACAUGCAAAAAAAAUAUAUAUUAAUGAGAGGAGAUACACUAAAUAUAUUUUACUCAUCUCAGCAUAGCUUUCUCACAGGCAGUA
rnacentral:lncRNA from 1 species